rnacentral:lncRNA from 1 species
ACCCAUCUCCUCCCCUUGGUAGCGCCUCUCCUUCCUCCUUCACUGCUCCCGUCUCCCAGUCAGUCUACCUUCUGCUCUGCGGGCAUUUGCUUUUGUAAGAAUCUGACUGUGUACAGCAAUGCUCUUCUUUAAUCCCAGCAUUCAGAGGCAGAGGCAAGUCAAUCUCUAGGACUUCAAGGCCAGCCUGGUCUACAUAGCAAAUUCAAAGCCAGAGGGAGCUACCUAGUGAGAGCUUGUCUCAAACAAACCUAGUUCUGCAUGUGAAAGAAAAUCUGUGAAACUUCUCCCAAUUAUGUGAAGACUCCGGUCAGAUGAAGCCACACCCGGAGUAUCACUGAAAGAUGGAACACGGUGAACAUUUGAGACGUCACUGGGAGACCCCCAUCUUGGAAGUCUAGGUUAUGAUAUUUUUCACACCGCUGCUCAUCACAAACCUCUGAACUCUUCAAGUCUCCUUUUCUUCGGGCCCCUUGCCUGAAGAAACUCAUACUAGACCUGCCAGAAGACGCCUAUAGUCUUCCCUCAUCUGCUUCCUCCCGAGGCUCCUGCACAGCUCUGCUUGGGAAACCCUUUUUAAUACAUUCCCCGGCUCCUUAGAGGCGUUCUGAAUCCCCAAACCAUCAUCUGAAACUGUUCCUGAAAAUCCGUUGUCGAGCGCUCCUGAGCUCUUCAUCGGAUUCCUAGUUAAAGA